rnacentral:lncRNA from 1 species
AGUGCCUUGCCCUAGGUCACACAGCUAGAAGGUGGCAGAACCAGGCUGGGCAGCCAGGGAUGUCUGACUCCAGAGCUUGUGCCCUGGGCUGCUUGGCUCCCAGGACAGGCCAACCCCUGCGUCAGGGCUGCCUGGCAGAACUCAAGGAUGGUCUUCUCUUCCCAUGCCAGGGAGGCCACGGAGAAGAUGGUAUCUAUGAAGCCACCAGGUUUCCAGGCAUCCCUGGCUAGAGACGGGCACAUGUCAGGCCUGGGCAAGGCUGAGGCAGCCCCUCCAGGCCCUGGCGUGCCACCCCACCCUCCAGGCACCAAGUCCGCAGCAUCCCACCAAAGUAGUAUGACCAGCCUGGAGGGAAGCGGCAUCUCUGAGCGCCUUCCACAGAAGCCUUUGCACCGAGGCGGUGGGCCCCACCUGGAGGAGACCUGGAUGGCGUCCCCAGAGACAGACAGUGGCUUUGUGGGCUCAGAAACAAGCAGAGUUUCACCCCUCACCCAGACUCCAGAGCACCGGCUCUCCCACAUCAGCACAGCAGGAA